CAUGAGGCAAAAAUGGAAUCAAAGGCUGCCAUAUCUGGUGGUGGUAGUGCUGGAAUUCCACCCUUUCUACGAGAGCGGGUGAACACGAAACGAAAAGGCCAUCGACCUUUUGCCUUUUCACUUUUCCACUGAAUUUCGAGGAGAUCAUCCACAUUCCUCAACUUUAACGAUUACAAUAUUAAUUAGGGAAGAUCCUGACAACAAAUUGUUAACCAUCUCAUCCUUCUCAUCUUGAUUCCUUCUUCUCUUUCUUCUGUUCUUCGCCAAACUUACCAUCCCUCUCAUCUCAAAAUCCAUGGCCGAUUCCCGCAACAAGACUAUCAUCGACACUGACCCUGGCAUCGAUGAUGCUAUA